rnacentral:misc_RNA from 1 species
ACGAGUUAGGGUCUUCUAGGCCCGACCUCCCAACCCUUUGUUUACUGAACCAUUGUUGCUUCGGUGGGUCCGUCUCACGACCGCCGGGGGGAUUCCCCCCUGGCCCGCACCCGCCGAUAGCCCAACCCUUAAAACCCUUUAUGAAUCGUGUCUUAUGUCUAAAUCAUGAUUAAAAAUCAAAAACA